rnacentral:rRNA from 1 species
AUGGAGAAGGCAGGACACGAGCAUGUGAUCGGCAUCCCGGUGAGCAGCACUGCUAUCGGCAUCGAGGAGCCCGAGUUCACCGGCGAUGAUGCAAAGUAUUUGACGAACACGCGUGCCGGUGGGAAAUCGAGCCGCAGGACCGGAGACAAGUUCGCUCGUGGCAUCAAAGAACAUGUGAUUCUCGGCCCAAAGCUGUACGAGACCGUGAGGGGAAAGCUGUCGCUGGGCGCCAGAAUCCUCCAGGCCGGCGGCGUGGAGAAAGUCUUCCAGCGGUGGUUCUCGGUCGAGAAGGGCGAGAAGCUCCUCAAGGCCUCGCACUGCUACCUGUCCACCACCGCCGGCCCGAUCGCCGGGAUGCUCUUCGUAUCCACGGAGAAGGUGGCCUUCCGCAGCGACCGGUCACUGGCGCUGACCUCGCCCAAGGGCGACACAGUGCGGGUGCCGUACAAGGUGGCCGUCCCGCUGAGGAGGGUGAAGGCGGCCAGGCCGAGCGAGAACCAGCGCCGGCCGGAGCAGAAGUACGUCCAGCUGGUGACCGACGACGGCUUCGAGUUCUGGUUCAUGGGCUUCGUCAGCUACCAGGCGUCCCUGCAGCACCUCGAGCAGGCCAUCAGCGCGGCUGGGGGUGGGAUGAAGGUGCAGUCGUCGCGGGCCGCGGGUACCGGGAGCGGGACGCGCUUGCGGCCUACCGCGGCGUGA